CACAGAGGGGGCAAGCGUUGUUCGGAAUUACUGGGCGUAAAGGGCGCGUAGGCGGCCUUCUAAGUCGAACGUGAAAUCCCCGGGCUCAACCCGGGAACUGCGUCCGAUACUGGAAGGCUUGAAUCCGGGAGAGGGAUGUGGAAUUCCAGGUGUAGCGGUGAAAUGCGUAGAUAUCUGGAGGAACACCGGUGGCGAAGGCGACAUCCUGGACCGGUAUUGACGCUGAGGCGCGAAAGCCAGGGGAGCAAACGGG
rnacentral:rRNA from 1 species